UACGAAGGGUGCAAACGUUGCUCGGAAUUAUUGGGCGUAAAGCGCACGUAGGCGGCUUGGCAAGUCGGAUGUGAAAUCCCUCGGCUCAACCAAGGAAGUGCAUCCGAAACUGCAGUGCUUGAGUACUUAAGAGGAUCGCGGAAUUCCCGGUGUAGAGGUGAAAUUCGUAGAUAUCGGGAGGAACACCAGUGGCGAAGGCGGCGAUCUGGGAAGAUACUGACGCUGAGGUGCGAAAGCGUGGGGAGCAAACAGG
rnacentral:rRNA from 1 species